rnacentral:lncRNA from 1 species
UACAUUGUUUACAAUUCCAGAAUUAUCACUUUAAAUUAUCACAUGGUCGGAAUUUACCAGUAGAUAUCAUACGUGUGUAUAAAUUUCUAGAAUGCAAAAAGAUUGUCUUGUCCGCAAGUUCUUUUGACUGAACGUUCACGUAAUCAUGUACGAGUCACAUCAUAAUUAGACGCUCAAUGUAGAACGAAAAAUUGUCAACCUCUAGGUUCCGUUAUCCAAUUGUUCUUGACUUAGGAUAAUUUUUUCGAAAGGUUCAAUUAAAGUCUUUGGAAUGCUUUGCAAUUUUGUCGUCUUUUAUAUUUUCUGCAUCUGAGGCUCAAAUCAU